rnacentral:rRNA from 1 species
AUUGAACGCUGGCGGCAGGCCUAACACAUGCAAGUCGAGCGGAUGAAGGGAGCUUGCUCCUGGAUUCAGCGGCGGACGGGUGAGUAAUGCCUAGGAAUCUGCCUGGUAGUGGGGGAUAACGUCCGGAAACGGGCGCUAAUACCGCAUACGUCCUGAGGGAGAAAGUGGGGGAUCUUCGGACCUCACGGUAUCAGAUGAGCCUAGGUCGGAUUAGCUAGUUGGUGGGGUAAGGGCCUACCAAGGCGACGAUCGGUAACUGGCCUGGGGGGAUGACCGGCCACUGCGGGACUGCGAGACGGCCCAGACUCCGACGGGAGGCAGCAGUCGGGAAUAUUGCACGAUGGGCGGAAGCGGGAUGCAGGAACGCCGUGUGCGGGAUGACGGUUUUCGGGUUGUAAACAGCUUUCGCCUGUGACGAAGCGUGAGUGACGGUAAUGGGUAAAGAAGCACCGGCUAACUACGUG